rnacentral:rRNA from 1 species
ACGGAGGGUGCAAGCGUUAUCCGGAUUUAUUGGGUUUAAAGGGUGCGUAGGCGGUAGAAUAAGUCAGUGGUGAAAAGCUGCAGCUCAACUGUAGUCCUGCCAUUGAAACUGUUUAACUUGAGUAACCAUGAGGUAGGCGGAAUGUGUAGUGUAGCGGUGAAAUGCUUAGAUAUUACACAGAACACCGAUUGCGUAGGCAGCUUACUAGAGGUUUACUGACGCUGAUGCACGAAAGCGUGGGGAUCAAACAG